rnacentral:rRNA from 1 species
UACGUAGGGCGCAAGCGUUGUCCGGAAUUAUUGGGCGUAAAGAGCUCGUAGGCGGCUUGUCACGUCGGGUGUGAAAGCCCCGGGGGCUUAACCCCGGGUCUGCAUUCGAUACGGGCUGGCUAGAGUGUGGUAGGGGAGAUCGGAAUUCCUGGUGUAGCGGUGAAAUGCGCAGAUAUCAGGAGGAACACCGGUGGCGAAGGCGGAUCUCUGGGCCAUUACUGACGCUGAGGAGCGAAAGCGUGGGGAGCGAACAGG